AUAAAAUUAUCAUACAAAUUUUUAUUGUAUGUAGUAAGCAAGAUAAAAUAUGGCUAAAAUAAUAACGAUCAUACAAAUUUUUACGAUUAUCAUGCUUUUCAUCUUUGUCAUUGUAACUGACGCAAGUUAUCCAUGCAAAAUUCAUAGAGAUUGUACUACUAUUACGUGUAGUUAUCCUCUAGUUCCAAGGUGCUUAAUUCAAAAAUGUUAUUGCGGGUUUAAUUAAGAAUUAAGUUCAAAAAUAAUUUCAUGAUACUUUUAAGAAUAUAAUUGUAUAUGCAAUUAUAUUGUUGGUACUUUUAUGAUUUCUCUCGCUCAUCGAUCUUUGUUCGUCAUCCAUAUAAAAUAAUUGUAAAAUGGUCAUUAGUGCCACCGUUAUUAAUAAUUUUUUUUCUCUAAAUUUGAAUAAAAAAAUUGUUAGUAGUAACUUUAAAUUUAUUUGAUCGAGUCAAAAUCAUAUUAUCAUAUUAUUGAAGUGUUAAUCCAUUCAUUUGCUUUUUGAAGUAAUUGAAAAUCGUGUAAAUCAAUUUUUGGGAACAUAUAAACACACUUCAAAAUAAUAGAUGAAUAUAAUGAAUAAUAUUUUUAGGAUUAAGGAUCACAAGAUAUGAUGGAAAAAAAUAUAUCUCGUCAGUGGAAAAACUUCAUAAAAGAUAACUGCACACAUAUGAGUUUUUUAUUUAUUUAUUUAUUUAUUUUUUAUUUUUUUACUGUUGACGGAGUUUCAUAUGAUAUUUUAGUGUAUGUUUGUAGUUAGAUUUUUUUUUUGUAUUUGAAGACAAAUGAGAGGUCAUUUAGAGGAUUUGGUCAUGGUUUGACGAACAUUUUGUAUUGUUUUCAUUUGAGUCAUUGUAAUUCACUUUAAUCCAAAUAAUGCAACUAGGUUGGUGUUUUGAAUCUUUUUAACAAAAAAUCAUGUAAAUCGGCAAAACAAGAUAUCGCGUGAAGCAUCGAGGAUAUGAAAAAUGAAGAUAAAUGGUUCUUAGAAUAUUUUUUAAGACAGUACAAGUUGGUGAAAAUUCUUCCCAAGUCCCGAGGCAUUUCAAGAUGGAAGAGCGCUAGAAAAAGUAAUGAAAACUGCAAAAUUCGCACAUUAGCUAAUGCCCCAUGCAUCCCUGCGCAUGAGUCAUCCCUGGCUACUAGUCCAUAUGUAACACCCUAAACCUCAUAUGCAAUAAUCAUGCAAUUAAUUCAAUAAAUCAAAGAGUUUAGAUGCUA